rnacentral:tRNA from 1 species
GGGCCAUUUGCUUAGCCUGGUUAACGGCAUUUAUAGCAAGCGUGGCCAACAAGCGCAGGUCUUAUAAGCCUGAGAGCCGGGGUUCGAAUCCCCGAUGGCCCA